rnacentral:lncRNA from 1 species
AGGAACUUGGAAUAACUUGCAGUGUCUUGCAGUAUUGUGAAACCAGCAACUUGUUCACAAUUCUUCUGAAUUUCUUGGGAAAUUUGAAGUGGAGUACCUGUACCAACAUGAAAUGACACGAAUUUAAGUGAAGCUCAACAACGAAAAGCAAAAAGAACCAAAGAGGAAGCAACUGAAACAACAUCUGGAUGUAUUUAAAAAUAUACAAUGCCUCCAAAAUCAGGUGUCAUUAAUGAAAAUUCUGAAGAAAUGCCACCGGACAUAGCCAACACACCUACGCUAUUGUUAUUCAUUUCCUGCUUUUCACAGAAAACAAUUUUGUUGCAUGGAAGAUUGUGAACUUCAAAGAGCAGAGGGGAAACUCUCCCUUGGCCCCUACCCCUCCAAGGCCCCACUUUUUCGUCAACACUCCUUGGACGCAGCAGAAGUAUGAACAUAAUAUGGUCCUGAAUGAGGCUGAGUCUUUGGGCGCAGAAGACCCGGGUUAAUAAAAAUAGGAAGGUAAGAAAAGAAAAGAAAAAUCAAGACACAUCAUAGGACUAAAUUCCUAUUAUUUAUCCACUCAGGAUUGACCACCCUUUUGGGCCAGAUAGUUGUACCCCCAUGUACCAGGUGGGCACAUGAAGACACAAGAAGUGCUGUGAUGGUUCAUUUUGCAUGUCACCUUGCGUGGAGUAUGCCAACUCAUUGUUUGGUCAAAUGCUAGUCUGGACAUGGUGGUAAAGGUAUUUUUUAGAUGAGAUUAACGCUUAAAUCAGUAAAGCAGGUUACCCACCAUACUAUGGGUGGGCCCUGUCCAAUCAGUUGAAGGCAUUAAGAACAAAGAUUGAGGUUUCCUAAAGAAGAUGGAAUUCUCCUUGAGACUACAACAUAGAAACCCUAUCUGAGUUUCCAGCCUGCUGCCCUGUGGAAUUCGAACUCAGGACUCCAGUCUAUGACAUUAACCCUCACUUAACUUUUCAGCCUGCCAGCCUGCCCUAUGGAUUUCAGACUUGCCAGCCACACAAUUCCUUAAAAUAAAUCUCUCUGUCUCUGUC